CGAAAGGCUCUUUUAAGAGCCACCUAAUAAGUGAAAAUAAGUGUGU
rfam:Salmo salar isolate Sally breed double haploid chromosome ssa09, whole genome shotgun sequence.